GAGGCUUCCUGCGGGCACCGGCGCGCUCGGCCUCCGCUCCUGGGCGCUGCAGUUCUCCCUCUCCUUGCCAGCCCAGAGAUAAAUAGACGGCCAGAAAGAAAAGAAAAAGAGAAAACAUCUCUAGAGCUCUGCGCGGGGAGGGCAGUGGCCGCGGCAGCUGUGGUUUCUGAUAGCUAACACCUCAGCAUUACAAUUCUGUUUUCCAUAAACUUCUGUGCAGAAAUCUGGGGAAUUCAAAAGAACUGGGGAGUGCUGAUCUCCCUGGAGUCUGAAGCCUGGAGAAACCAUCCAGAAGGCUGAAGCUAUUCAUCUCAAAGGAGCAGAUGUUGUCCCUCCCCAAGGAGUUAUUAUGGGUUGGAAGAAAUGAGAAAAUGAAUAUAAACAAGUUAUUCUGUGAAUGUUAUCAAAUAUGAUCAGCACCAACCAAAUAGAGCUCUAAAUGAGUAAGUAUUCUUUACUGAUAGAAGCAAAAGCAAAUGAACAUUAUACUUUUCUAAAUACAUUCAGAAGCAAAUAAUUUGAGCAAAAGCACAGACCUAAUUGGGUCAUAUAUGAUAGCAUGGGAAAACCGUCCUGGAGAAGUAGAAAGUGUGUUGCUAGGUCAGCUUAGCUGGUUGUCAUCCAUCAACUCUACCCCCUAGCCAUGGCUUUGCAGACUUCUCUAGAAGGCUUUCUCCUUUCCCAGGUGGCUAGGCAGAGUCACAGAGACAGUGAUCUAAUGUCCCUUAGGAUGCUUAUGGGACCUGUUUCUAUGGGUGCAAAGCCAAUCAAGGAUAGGACUGGAGAGGAACCAAAAUGCUUUCCUGCUGAGCUGUCUGCUAGAUCCUGGUAUUUUCAAUCAGCUAGCAUGGGGUUUCUUGCUGUUUUAGGACAAUCGAUUUACCUUAUGGCUAAAUUUCAGGAAAGGAACCAUUCCAGCAGAUAGCGACCACAGAAGUGGUAGCCUGAUGAAAAAGAAUAAUUUUGGGUGUUGUAUAAAUGUAAAAACCAUGAAGUUUUUUAAAAAUAAAAAAAAUUCACUUGCAUACACUCUCUUUGAAAAGUUAGUGGGCAGCUAUUUGCUAGCUGAAACAGAAACACUUGAUUAUGUUGUGGAUGAGUAGGGAAAACGUCGUGCUGGAGGUGGAUUUGGAGCUGACAAUAAAGGAUGAAUGAGGAUCAAUAGUCUGAGAAUGAAAGGGGAAGACAGACAUUCCCUGUUGAAUAAAGGGCACCAUGAAAGUCACAGGGUGUAACAAUGUAUAUAUGUUUCAGGAAAAAGCAAAUGGACUCAAUGUGGUUGAAAUGUGGAGAGGAUUUUGAGAGAUGAAGCUUGAAAUAUAGUUGACCCUUGAACAAGGUGGGUUUGAACUGCAGGUGUCCACAUAUGCACAGAUUUUUUUCAACCAAACAUGUUGAAAAAUACAGAAUUCAUGGGAUGCUAAGCCCACAUAUACUGAGGGCUGACUUUCCCUAUCUACCUUCCACAGAGUAUGCACAGGUAUACAUGGGAGUCCUGGAAUCAAUCCCCUGCAUGUACUGAAGGAUGACUGUGUAUGUUUCUUUUAACCUAAACUUCCUGUACUAACUCUGCCUUUGUAUAUUUCCAGAUUCCUCCUGCCCCAGAAAACUAGAUAUGUACUUAAGAGAGAAAAGAAAUAAGCUUGAAAUAUUUUAGCAGUUACCAUAGAGAAUAAGAAAAAAAAUUCAUAUUAUAUGCAAGGAAAGUCAAGCAU
ensembl:lncRNA novel transcript